CGAGAACGAACAGAGCGAAGAAUUCUUGUGAAACACUUCUGGCAUUUACCUCGAUCAUUCAUCGUGCGAGAUACAUCGUUGUUAGACUUGCGUUGAUGUCUUCAAGGACACGCUCGUAAUCCUCUUUUUGUGACGACCCUGAGUUCUCGGUGUCGCGUCCGAAUUUUGCCGUCUGUCGAACAAAAUUGAGACGACACGUCAGGAUGCACAUUGACGCUUUCCCGCCUGCAAGAACCGUCCGGAUCGGUGAUCAUCACCGAAAUAGGAUUCGG